AACGAACGCUGGCGGCAUGCCUAACACAUGCAAGUCGAACGAGACCUUCGGGUCUAGUGGCGCACGGGUGCGUAACGCGUGGGAACCUGCCCUUAGGUUCGGAAUAACUCCCCGAAAGGGGUGCUAAUACCGGAUAAUGUCUUCGGACCAAAGAUUUAUCGCCUUUGGAUGGGCCCGCGUUGGAUUAGCUAGUUGGUAGGGUAAAAGCCUACCAAGGCGACGAUCCAUAGCUGGUCUGAGAGGAUGAUCAGCCACACUGGGACUGAGACACGGCCCAGACUCCUACGGGAGGCAGCAGUGGGGAAUAUUGGACACUGGGCGCAAGCCUGAUCCAGCAAUGCCGCGUGAGUGAUGAAGGCCUUAGGGUUGUAAAGCUCUUUUACCCGGGAUGAUAAUGACAGUACCGGGAGAAUAAGCUCCGGCUAACUCCGUG
rnacentral:rRNA from 1 species